rnacentral:rRNA from 1 species
AUGGAACGCUGGCGGCAGGCCUAACACAUGCAAGUCGAACGAGUGGCGGACGGGUGACUCAUGUCUGGGCACCUGCCUGAUGGAGGGGGAUAACUACUGGAAACGGUAGCUGAUACCGCAUACCAUCGGAUGUGCCCAGAGGGGAUUAGCUAGUGGGUGGGGGAACGGCUCACCUAGGCGACGAUCCCUAGCUGGUCCGAGAGGAUGACCAGCGACACUGGAACGGAGACACGGUCCAGACGCCUACGGGAGGCAGCGGUGGGGAAUAUUGCACAAUGGGCGCAAGCCUGAUGGAGCCAUGCCGCGUGUAUGAAGACGGCCUUCGGGUUGUAAAGUACUGUCAGCGAGGAGGCGUUACUCGCAGAAGAAGCACCGGCUAACUCCUUGCCAGCAGACGCGGUAAUUC